rnacentral:rRNA from 1 species
AUACGUAGGGUGCAAGCGUUGUUCCGGAAUUAUUGGGGCGUAAAAGAGCUUGUAGGCGGGUUUGUCGCGUCUGCCGUGAAAAGUCCGGGGCUCAACUCCGGAUACUGCGGUGGGUACGGGCAGACUAGAGUGAUGUAGGGGAGACUGGAAUUCCGUGGUGUAGCGGUGAAAUGCGACAGAUAUCAGGAGGAACACCGAUGGCGAAGGCAGGUCUCUGGGCAUUAACUGACGCUGAGGAGCGAAAGCAUGGGGAGC